rnacentral:rRNA from 1 species
AGAGUUUGAUCAUGGCUCAGAUUGAACGCUGGCGGCAUGCCUUACACAUGCAAGUCGAACGGUAACGCGGGGCAACCUGGCGACGAGUGGCGAACGGGUGAGUAAUAUAUCGGAACGUGCCCAGUAGUGGGGGAUAGCCCGGCGAAAGCCGGAUUAAUACCGCAUACGACCUACGGGUGAAAGCGGGGGAUCGCAAGACCUCGCGCUAUUGGAGCGGCCGAUAUCAGAUUAGGUAGUUGGUGGGGUAAAGGCCUACCAAGCCUACGAUCUGUAGCUGGUCUGAGAGGACGACCAGCCACACUGGGACUGAGACACGGCCCAGACUCCUACGGGAGGCAGCAGUGGGAAUUUUGGACAAUGGGCGCAAGCCUGAUCCAGCCAUGCCGCGUGCGGGAAGAAGGCCUUCGGGUUGUAAAGCACUUUUGUCAGGGAAGAAACGGUGAGGGCUAAUAUCCCUUGCUAAUGACGGUACCUGAAGAAUAAGCACCGGCUAACUACGUG